GACGAACGCUGGCGGCGUGCUUAACACAUGCAAGUCGAACGGAAAGGCCCUGCUUUUGUGGGGUGCUCGAGUGGCGAACGGGUGAGUAACACGUGAGUAACCUGCCCUUGACUUUGGGAUAACUUCAGGAAACUGGGGCUAAUACCGGAUAGGAGCUCCUGCUGCAUGGUGGGGGUUGGAACGUUUCGGCGGUUGGGGAUGGACUCGCGGCUUAUCAGCUUGUUGGUGGGGUAGUGGCUUACCAAGGCUUUGACGGGUAGCCGGCCUGAGAGGGUGACCGGCCACAUGGGGACUGAGAGACGGACCAGACGCCAACGGGAGGCAGCAGUGGGGAAUAUUGCACAAUGGGCGGAAGCCGGAUGCAGCAACGCCGCGUGCGGGAUGACGGCCUUCGGGUUGUAAACCGCUUUCGCCUGUGACGAAGCGUGAGUGACGGUAAUGGGUAAAGAAGCACCGGCUAACUACGUG
rnacentral:rRNA from 1 species